AGAGUUUGAUCAUGGCUCAGGAUGAACGCUAGCGGCAGGCUUAACACAUGCAAGUCGAGGGGUAUAGGUUUUCGGACCUAGAGACCGGCGCACGGGUGCGUAACGCGUAUGCAAUCUACCUUUUACAGAGGGAUAGCCCAGAGAAAUUUGGAUUAAUACCUCAUAGUAUUACGACUCGGCAUCGAGAUGUAAUUAAAGUCACAACGGUAAAAGAUGAGCAUGCGUCCCAUUAGCUUGUUGGUAAGGUAACGGCUUACCAAGGCAACGAUGGGUAGGGGUCCUGAGAGGGAGAUCCCCCACACUGGUACUGAGACACGGACCAGACUCCUACGGGAGGCAGCAGUGAGGAAUAUUGGUCAAUGGGCGCAAGCCUGAACCAGCCAUGCCGCGUGCAGGAUGAAGCAUCUAUGGUGUGUAAACUGCUUUUGUACGAGAAGAAACACUCCUUCGUGAAGGAGCUUGACGGUAUCGUAAGAAUAAGGACCGGCUAACUCCGUGCCAGCAGCCGCGGUAAUACGGAGGGUCCAAGCGUUAUCCGGAAUCAUUGGGUUUAAAGGGUCCGUAGGCGGUUUUGUAAGUCAGUGGUGAAAGCCCAUCGCUCAACGGUGGAACGGCCAUUGAUACUGCAAGACUUGAAUUAUUGGGAAGCAACUAGAAUAUGUAGUGUAGCGGUGAAAUGCUUAGAUAUUACAUGGAAUACCAAUUGCGAAGGCAGGUUGCUACCAAUAUAUUGACGCUGAUGGACGAAAGCGUGGGGAGCGAACAGGAUUAGAUACCCUAGUAGUCC
rnacentral:rRNA from 1 species